GAGGGUGUGGCUCAGUGGUAGAAUUUGUGCUUAGCAUGUAUGAGCCCUGGGUUCCAUUCCCAGCAUCACUUA
rnacentral:tRNA from 1 species